rnacentral:rRNA from 1 species
UACAGAGGGUGCGAGCGUUAAUCGGAAUUACUGGGCGUAAAGCGCACGUAGGUGGCUUGGCAAGUCGGGUGUGAAAUCCCCGGGCUCAACCUGGGAACUGCAUUCGAGACUGCCUUGCUCGAGUAUGGGAGAGGGAAGUGGAAUUUCCGGUGUAGCGGUGAAAUGCGUAGAUAUAGGAAGGAACAUCAGUUGCGAAGGCGGCUCACUGGAUCAAUACUGACGCUGAGGUGCGAAAGCGUGGGGAGCGAACAGG